rnacentral:sRNA from 1 species
UGACCAUCUAAAAAUAAAACAACGGGCA